AUGACGAUAUUUAUAAUUUACAAUUUCAUGAGUUAAACAAGAAGGCUAAUAGUUGAUAAUUUACUUAAAGUACAAAAUGUCAACAUUUCACCCAAGAUUUCAUUAAGUCACGUUUGAAGGUGUUAGUGUGGAAAAAUUUCUGAUUUUUGGUUGAGAAAAUAAAAAGGAAAAAGAAAAAAAAAAGCUAUGGUCAAUCCCCAUUAAUGGUGUCUUCCGCCUCACUCCACCGUGUCCAUUUGUCACUCAUGCAAUCACAACUCUCUUCUUCUUCUUCAGUCAAGAUCUGUCCCCAACCCAUCACCAUUGCUUCUUCAAGUUAACAAAAUCAGAUUAUUUACUUCACCAUCUUCCUCCCAACCACUGAUUUUAACUCCAAAAUUCCCUAUAAAUAAUCAUGGAUUCAAUACCAAGAACACACCAACAACAACUCUUCUCUCUAAUCAGAAAUUCAGUCAAUAAUCGCCGGAAAAUUGUAACUAAAAGAAAUAAAAAAAAAAAGAAGAGAAAGCCCCAAAUUCAUAAUCUCUCUCCUCUGUUUCGGACCCCACACAACCGACCACCGCGGCCACCGCGCGCGCCACCUGUGCCGCGCUCAAUCCCGCCCUCACCUCGUCGUCGCUCGCCGGCCGCCUCGCACGUCACUCGCCGGAGACCGCCGCGCCAGCAGCUUCAAUCUCUCUCUCCUCCUCGCGCUCUUCACCCUCGCUCCUCUCCUCUUCGCGCGUCACUUUCGGGGUUGUGCAGCAUCACCGGCGACCUUAGCCCGCGACGUUCCGCCAUCGUCCGUCGUUCUCGCCGCCGACGUCACUGCUCGCCGGCGUCCGUUCAUCAUUCGAGGUGUCGUCCCUGCUCCAAGAGAGCAGAGAUUGAGGAAGAUAAAGGAUAUUACAAGCCUCCCCCGGCUAUCAAGGUUAUUAAGCAGGAAUUCAGGUACCGAUGGUGAUAACGGGAUGGCGUAGCAGUGAGGAUUUGAUUAAUAUCUAGAUUAUCUAGAGUCUCAUGGUUUUAAUUUAAGUUUAUGUCAAAACUCUGAUUAGUAACUAAGUUUCUAUUAAUCAAGACUAAUGUUGGAUCUAUAUUAUGCUUCAUGUUAUAAAAUGUUUAAGUUUAUGAUUU